rnacentral:rRNA from 1 species
CCUACGGGAGGCAGCAGUGAGGAAUAUUGGACAAUGGAGGCAAGUCUGAACCAGCCAUGCCGCGUGCAUGAAGACGGAAUUCUGAGUUGUAAGCUGCUUUUGUACGAGGGAAAACGCAGAUAUGCCUGUCUGUCUGAACGUAUCGUACUAAUUAGGAUCGGCUAACUCCGUGCGUGCAGCCGCGGUAAUACGGAGGAGUCAAGCGUUAACCGGAUUUAUUGGGUUUAAAGGGAGCGUAGGCGGUCGGGUAAGUUAGAGGUGAAAGCCCGAGGCGCAACUUCGGAAGUGCCUCUGAUACUUUAUGGCUAGAGAGCAGGUGCGGUAGGCGGAAUGUAUGGUGUAGCGGUGAAAUGCGUAGAGAUCAGACAGAACACCGAUUGCGAAGGCAGCUUGCUAAGCUACUACUGACGUUGAGGCACGAAAGCGUGGGGAGCAAACAGGAUUAGAUACCCUUGUAGUC